rnacentral:piRNA from 1 species
UGUUAUGAGAUCUGGUGCCCUUUU